GACAGAGGUGCCGAGCGUUAGGCGGAAUCACUGGGCUUAAAGCGUGUGUAGGCGGGCGGGCAAGUACCUUGUGAAAUCCCACGGCUCAACCGUGGAACGGCUGGGUAUAACUGCCUGUCUUGAGGCCAACUAGGGGCGAGCGGAACAGACGGUGGAGCGGUGAAAUGCGUAGAUAUCGUCUGGAACGCCAAAGGUGAAAACAGCUCGCUGGGGUUGUGCUGACGCUGAGACACGAAAGCCAGGGGAGGCGAACGGG
rnacentral:rRNA from 1 species